rnacentral:rRNA from 1 species
CAAGUAAAUAACUGUAUUUAAAGGAUGCCUUGGUAAUUCUAUUGAUGAAGGACGUAUAAAAAUUCGAUAAUUUCAGGGAUAUUUGAUCUGAAAGUUUCCUAAUGAGAUAACUUAAUUUUUAUAUUAUUUAUAUUCUUAAAAGAUUAUAAAAAUUUACUUAAUGAACUGAAACAUCUUAGUAGUUAAAGGAAAAUAAAUCAAAAUGAGAUUUUCUUAGUAGUGGCGAGCGAAAAGGAAUUUAGUUUUAUAUUUUUUAAAAUUAUUUUAAUUUAAUGUUUUUGAAUAGACUAUUAAAAAAGGUAAAAAUCCUGUAAUUUAAAAUAAUUUAUUUAAAAAUAUAUUUUUAAAGUUUAGUAAAAUGGGAAAUGUUUAUCCUGUUUGAAUAAUUUUUAUUUAGGGGAACCAUCCUCUUUAACUAAAUAUUUAGAAUUAACCGAUAGUGAACUAGUACUGUGAAGGAAAGGUGAAAAGAACUCUUAUUAAGAGAGUGAAAUAGAUUCUGAAAUUAAAUACAUAUAAUCAGUCUAAGCUAAAUAUUUAGUAAAGGCGUACCUUUUGUAUAAUGGGUCAGUGAGUUAUAUUUAAUAGCAAGCUUAAUUUUUUAAAGUAGGCGUAGCGAAAGCGAGUUUUAAAAAGCGUUUUAGUUUUUAAAUAUAGACCCGAAACCAAGUGAUCUAUCUAUGACCAGGAUGAAAAUUUUUUUAAUUUGAGGUCCGAACCCACUAACGUUGAAAAGUUAGGGGAUGAGUUGUGGAUAGGGGUGAAAGGCCAAUCAAACUUGGAGAUAGCUGGUUCUCUUCGAAAGCUAUUUAGGUAGCGACUAUUGUUUUGUUAAUUUUGGUAGAGCACUGUUAUAUAAAAAGUUUUUUAAAAAAAUUCUUUUUGUAAAGCAAACUCCGAAUAAUUUUAAUAUAAUCGAUGGAUACAGACAGGGGGCUCUAACGUUCUCUGUCGAAAGGGAAAAAACCCAGACCAUUAUCUAAGGUCCUUAAAUAUUAUCUAAGUGUUUUAAACGAGAUAAAAAAACAUUGACAAUUAGAAGGUGGGCUUAGAAGCAGCCAUCCUUUAAAGAAAGCGUAACAGCUCACUAAUUUAGUUUUUUUACUCGGAAGAUUUUUUGGGGCUAAGUAAUAUACCGAAGAUAUGGAUAUGAUAUUUUCAUAUGGUAGAAGAGCUUUUUGUAAAUCUUUGAAGAAAUAUUGUGAAAUAUUUUGGAGAUAUCAGAAGUGAGAAUGCUGACAUAAGUAACGAUAAAAGAGGUGAGAAACCUCUUCGCCUAUAAUCUAAGGUUUCCUACACUAUGUUAAUCAAUGUAGGGUUAGUCGGUUCUAAGAUGAAAUAUUAUCUAUGUAAUCGAUGAUUUAAUAGGUUAAUAUUCCUAUACUAUUAUUUGAAAAUAUUUUAAAAAAUUUCAAAUCAUUGAUUUUUAUCCAAAUUAUAGGUUUUUGGUAUUUAUAUUUUUUAUUUUUAAGUUAAAUUUAAAUUGUUUUAAAAAUAUAAAUAAAGUUUUCAAUUAAAAUAUUUUGAUUUCUAGAAAAGUUUUUUAUUUUAAUUCAAUUAAUAACCGUACCAUAAACUGACACAGGUGGAUAAGAUGAAUAUUCUAAGGCGCUUGGGAGAACUGAGGGGAAGGAACUCGGCAAAUUAAUACUGUAACUUCGGGAGAAAGUAUACCUUUUAUUGAUAAUAUUUUAUAUUAUUUUAAAAAGGUUUUAAAAAAAUGGCAGCUGCGACUGUUUAAUAAAAACACAGCACUUUGCUAAUAAUUAAUUAAAUGUAUAAAGUGUGACGCCUGCCCGGUGCUGUAAGAUUAAGUUGAGAAGUUUUUGCUUUUAAAUUAAGUCACAGUAAACGGCGGCCGUAACUAUAACGGUCCUAAGGUAGCGAAAUUCCUUGUCGGGUAAUUUCCGACCUGCACGAAUGGCGUAACGAUGGCUGCACUGUCUCCCCCUCAGACUCAGUGAAAUUGAAAUGUUUGUGAAGAUGCGAACUACCCGUGGCAAGACGGAAAGACCCCAUGAACCUUUACUGUAUCCUUGUAUUGUAGUUUAAAAUUUUUUGUGUAGAAUAGGUGGGAGACUUUGAAGUUAAAACGCUAGUUUUAAUGGAGUCAAAAUUGAAAUACCAUCCUUAAGAUUUUAUUCUUCUUUAACUUAAAAUUUAUUUAUAAUUUAAGAACAUUGCAUGGUUGACAGUUUGACUGGGGCGGUCUCCUCCUAAAAGGUAACGGAGGAGCACAAAGGUUUGUUAUUUACGGUUGGAAACCGUAUUUUAGUGUAAUGGCUUAAACAAGCUUAACUGUGAGACAUACAAGUCAAUCAGAUGCGAAAGCAGGUCAUAAUGAUCCGGUAAUUCUUUAUGGAAUGGUUACCGCUUAACGGAUAAAAGGUACUCUGGGGAUAACAGGCUAAUACCGCCCAAGAGUUCAUAUCGACGGCGGUGUUUGGCACCUCGAUGUCGGCUCAUCUCAUCCUGGAGCUGAAGAAGGUUCCAAGGGUAUGGCUGUUCGCCAUUUAAAGAGGUACGUGAGCUGGGUUUAAAACGUCGUGAGACAGUUUGGUCCCUAUCUGCCAUGGGCGUUGGAUAUUUGAGAGAUUCUGUUUUUAGUACGAGAGGAUCGAAAUGGACAAACCUAUGGUGUUCUAGUUGUUAAGCCUUUAGCAUUGCUAGGUAGCUAAGUUUGGUCGAUUUAACUUCUGAAAGCAUAUAAGAAGGAAAUUGUUCUCAAGAUUAAAUAUCCCAAAGAUUUUUUCUUUUUAAAGAGCUGUUCUAGACUAGGACUUUAAUAGGUUAAUUGUGUAAGCAUAGUAAUAUGUUUAGCAUAUUAAUACUAAUUGCUCGUAAGGCUUGAU